GUUUUGAUAGAGAUUAUCACCUUGGUUGGAUGCCAGUUGGAUAGCAGUUUCUAGUUAAUUUAUUUGGCGUUCAGGUUUGACCAUCGCACCCUAAGGCUUCCGAAAUCGAAGAGACCAUCUCCGUCUGUCUCUCUACCGGUUCGAUGAGUCAACUUGGGAUUCAAACAUCAUCAACAUCGCCCAUCAUCGAUUGCAUAGAGUAUCAACAAUGUCCAUGAUUUUUUAUAUUGCUCCAAAUCAAUAAAUCAAGGACAUCAUUGUUGUUUUUAGUGUCGUCACUUAACCAUGUUAAAUUCCACAAGUAGACUUUUACCAUCUCCGUCAACAUCUUCUUUGAAGAUUCUUUAGCCAUUCUCCAUCAACAUCUCUAAGGUAGGUCUUCUGGCGGAGAGCCAGCGACACUUGAAAAGCCAAAACGCAUAAUCAGCAAAAUGCCAAGACUGAUUAAUUCACAAAUUUGGGCUCAAUAAGAAGGUCGAAUGUUUGUGGACAAGAAUGAAAACAGGUUGAGGUAGACCAGUUUGGCCAAAACAACAAAGCCAACAGAUCCCAUCAAAACAAUGACAGAGAGCCGAUAGUUACCUCACAUUAUGUUUGACAGCAUUUGAUUCAAGAACAAGCUUAAGGGAUAAAAGGGAAGACAGGGAAUGCAAAAUUAAUCAGACAAGACAUUUUCAUUAUAAAAAGAACAUACCAAGGGAAGCUUCAUUUAGGCAAAGGUAAGAAUAUACAAGUGGAACUGCCUGUAGAUGUUGGCUAUGUUCUACAUGAAAUAAUGAUGUGAUAUCGGGUGGUGCAGACUUAUACAUCAGAUCACACCAUAAGACGAUGGACCUUCGCCAUGAUACUAGUCUAUGAAUCAACUUUUUGUUCCUAAUCAAUAAACUGCCAGAUUGAAAGCACUCCAAAGACAAAGAUUUAGCAAAGAUCUAAACUCAGUCAAAUCAAAAGGAAAAGUAAAUGCAAAGUUGAUACGUGGUAUCAACUGCUUGCGUUAAGGAACGUGAUAUGAAUUCAUGUAUACUUAUCUUCUCAACUUGUUGCAGAAGGAAAAAAUUCCUUUAGAAUCUUCCAAACUUGGAUAAUGAUGACAAUGAUUGCUUUGGAAACAUUAUCAUAUCAUCUCUUCCUGUAGAAGGAAGCCCAAAUUAACUGUCUAUAAAAAUAUAAAUAUGAGACAGGUAAUAUUAACUCUGUAUAGAAAUGGUGCAACAAAUCCAAUGAUUAUCCCAUUAAAGCAGGUAUAUAGAAAACAAUACCGGGUUUAAUAUAAUGCCAAAUAGGUAGACAAGCUUAUUCGCUAGCUUAGAAAACUAUAUGAACAUGGGAUCGACAUCUCCUUUUUUUUUUUUUUUAAUUUUUUCCUUUUAAUAAUGAAAACCAACUUUGGAAAAGAAACAAGGACAAAAUAUAGUUCUCAAUUUAAGCAAUGAAAAGGAAAAAUAAACAGAAGGCACACAAGUAUCAAGUCUGUAUUCCUUUAUCUUCAUCCGUUUAAUCUUCAGUGGCUGAUAUGAUAUGAUACCCCAAUGAAUAUCUAGUACUCUCUUCUUGUUUAUUCUGACAGAGAAGGGAAAAAAAAGUAUUCAUGGUAACCAGAAAUUAAAAAAAAAUCUUAAUGAUAUUACUAUGAUUUCAAAGAAGCAAAAAAAAAAAAUCAUAAUAUGAUUUCUACAUAGCACAUGUCAAGAAAAAGCAAAAAAAAAAUUCUUUUAGGAUAAAACAAAAUCCAUCUUAGAACUCAGUAAAUCAAUGAAUUAAUAUUUGAUUCAGACUUAUAGUUAAUUAUCAACUUAAAUACAACCAACAACAAAAAUGAGGAAUAUACAUCAAAUCCAUAACUAAAAAUGCCCCAAGAUGCACAAAGUAUUUAUUCCAAAAUAUUUAGUUUUUUAUUUGAUUUACUUAUUAAAAAAACAAUGCAACAAACCUUAAAUUAUAUCAUAAAAAUAUAAUUUUGAAGAAAGUAUGCAGGCUUUUACAUAAUUAUCGUUCAAGACUUGUAUGAUAACAUAUUCAUGAUCGUCUAAUGUCUUUUAAAAAUAUCAUCAGUUCUUGGAUAUAACCUACAUAUACAUAAUUACAAAAUAAUUGAGCACGUAAUUCUCUCUCUCUAGUGUUCCAGUGAGAGAGCUUCUUGCGACCAACCUCCCUACUCCCCCUUACAACUGUGUUUCCCCUACCUUCCUCUCAAGCCCUUGUCAACCAUGCCAAUCCCCUAGCCCCCAGGCCUACAGCCCUUGUGUAGUCUCCUCCCUCCUCCUCGACCUUUUUAAGAUAAUGAGUGGGGCAGGAGAGAGGUCGGCUAAUGCCGCCAUGGGUGAAUUGCUUGGAAGAAUCUAAUGUCGGUCUGGCCUCCGCAUUGAGCUUGAUGUCAACGAGGUCACCCAAUGUUACAAGGAAUGACAAACAAGCCUUUAUGGCAAAUUCCUUAGUAAGACCCCACUAGAACUUCUCAAAUCCCUACUUCCUAAGAUUUGGGACCUAGCUUCCAAUUGUACUAUCAUGGAUUUGGUCAGUAGAUUUUUCUACUUUAGUUUUCACACAAUGGAGGAGAGGAACCAUGUCCUAUUAGGAGGCCCCUGGUUUUUUAGGGGACAACCAUUAACCCUCAUCCACUGGAAGCCAAAAUUCUAGUCGAUUAUAGAGAGGAUUGACUUUAUUCCCACUUGGUUACCGUUUUUUGGUCUCCCCUUGAGCUCUUCCAACCCAACGUCCUUUCCUAGAUAGGCACAUUUCUAAAGGUAAACCAAGUUAAAUUAUCACGUUCCAGCGGCAAGGUCACCUGAGUUUGUGUCCUAAACAUAACUCUCCCUAUUCCCCAAGGUAUUGGAUACAUGUAGGCAGCACCCAUUUCUUCCAAUUUAUCACUUACGAAAACCUUCUCAACAUCUUGCUUUAAAUGCGGGAAGGUUGGCCAUCACACAUCCAACAAUGAGCUUUCGUCUCAUCCUCAACCUCUUGAGCCUUCACUAGAGCACUCUUAAGAUUUCCCAACAACCCCCUCUAGAAGAUAACAA
rnacentral:lncRNA from 1 species